GACGAACGCUGGCGGCGUGCCUAAUACAUGCAAGUAGAACGCUGAAGAGAGGAGCUUGCUCUUCUUGGAUGAGUUGCGAACGGGUGAGUAACGCGUAGGUAACCUGCCUGGUAGCGGGGGAUAACUAUUGGAAACGAUAGCUAAUACCGCAUAAAAUUGAUUAUUGCAUGAUAAUUAAUUGAAAGAUGCAACUGCAUCACUACCAGAUGGACCUGCGUUGUAUUAGCUAGUUGGUGAGGUAACGGCUCACCAAGGCGACGAUACAUAGCCGACCUGAGAGGGUGAUCGGCCACACUGGGACUGAGACACGGCCCAGACUCCUUCGGGAGGCAGCAGUAGGGAAUCUUCGGCAAUGGGGGGAACCCUGACCGAGCAACGCCGCGUGAGUGAAGAAGGGUUUCGGAUCGUAAAGCUCUGUUGUAAGAGAAGAACGGGUGUGAGAGUGGAAAGUUCACACUGUGACGGUAUCUGACCAGAAAGGGACGGCUAACUACGUG
rnacentral:rRNA from 1 species